rnacentral:rRNA from 1 species
UACGUAGGGGGCGAGCGUUGUCCGGAUUCAUUGGGCGUAAAGCGCGCGUAGGCGGCUUUGCAAGUCGGCCGUGAAAUCUCCGGGCUCAACUCGGAGGGGUCGGGCGAGACUGCGAGGCUCGAGGUGGGCAGAGGGCAGUGGAAUUCCGGGUGUAGUGGUGGAAUGCGUAGAGAUCCGGAGGAACACCAGUGGCGAAGGCGGCUGCCUGGGCCUGGCCUGACGCUGAGGCGCGAAAGCAUGGGGAGCAAACAGG